UAGCUCACGACGCCUUGCUUAACCACACCCCCACGGGAAACAGCAGUGACAAAAAUUAAGCCAUAAACGAAAGUUUGACUAAGUUAUAUUAAUUAGGGUUGGUAAAUCUCGUGCCAGCCACCGCGGUCAUACGAUUAACCCAAGCUAACAGGAGUACGGCGUAAAACGUGUUAAAGCACCAUACCAAAUAGGGUUAAAUUCUAACUAAGCUGUAAAAAGCCAUGAUUAAAAUAAAAAUAAAUGACGAAAGUGACCCUACAAUAGCCGACGCACUAUAGCUAAGACCCAAACUGGGAUUAGAUACCCCACUAUGCUUAGCCCUAAACACAGAUAAUUACAUAAACAAAAUUAUUCGCCAGAGUACUACUAGCAACAGCUUAAAACUCAAAGGACUUGGCGGUGCUUUAUAUCCUUCUAGAGGAGCCUGUUCUAUAAUCGAUAAACCCCGAUAAACCUCACCAAUUCUUGCUAAUACAGUCUAUAUACUCGCCAUCUUCAGCAAACCCU
rnacentral:rRNA from 1 species